AAUUUUCAAACUAAACUGUAGUGUAAAACGCGUGUUUUUAUUCUGUUAAUACAGAUUGGCAUAGGUAUACAUAAGAACACAAAAAAUAAUAAUAAUCAUAAUACAAUCGUUUCACUUAUAUAAUAAUAUAUUUAUAAUAUCAACUACCUAAAUUAUUAAACUGGAAGCUUAUUACCGAUUAUAUAUAGGGUGGCCUCAUUUAAAAUCGUAAUUACAAUAACUAUUAUUGUAUCGUUCAAUAUACGAGAGUGCAGUUUAAUUGACAACAAAUGCAAAAGACUUAUAUUAUACGAAUAUUAAGCAGUUCAAUUAUUCUC